rnacentral:rRNA from 1 species
AACGAACGCUGGCGGCAUGCCUAACACAUGCAAGUCGAACGAGACCUUCGGGUCUAGUGGCGCACGGGUGCGUAACGCGUGGGAACCUGCCCUUAGGUUCGGAAUAACUCCCCGAAAGGGGUCCUAAUACCGGAUAAUUUCUUCGGACCAAAGAUUUAUCGCCUUUGGAUGGGCCCGCGUUGGAUUAGCUAGUUGGUAGGGUAAAAGCCUACCAAGGCGACGAUCCAUAGCUGGUCUGAGAGGAUGAUCAGCCACACUGGGACUGAGACACGGCCCAGACUCGUACGGGAGGCAGCAGUGGGGAAUAUUGGACAAUGGGCGAAAGCCUGAUCCAGCAAUGCCGCGUGAGUGAUGAAGGCCUUAGGGUUGUAAAGCUCUUUUACCCGGGAUGAUAAUGACAGUACCGGGAGAAUAAGCUCCGGCUAACUCCGUG